rnacentral:rRNA from 1 species
UUAGGAAUAUUCGACAAUGGGGGAAACCCUGAUCGAGCAAUGCCGCGUGAAGGAUGAAGGUCCUAUGGAUUGUAAACUUCUGUUGUUAGGGAAGAACGACCUAUAUAGGAAAUGAUAUAGGAGUGACGGUACCUUUCAAGAAAGCUCCGGCUAACUACGUGCCAGCAGCCGCGGUAAUACGUAGGGAGCAAGCGUUAUCCGGAUUUAUUGGGUGUAAAGGGUGCGUAGGCGGUUAGAUAGGUCUAUGGUUUAAGCCCGAGGCUUAACCUCGGUUCGCCAUAGAAACCGUCCAACUUGAGUAUG